UCCGGUUUAGACCGGCGGUCUCCCUAGACAUAUUAACUAAGGACAAGGGUUGCGCUCGUUGCGGGACUUAACCCAACACCUCACGGCACGAGCUGACGACAGCUAUGCAGCAUCUGUGCACGCUCUCUUGCGAGUCCCUUCCCUUACGGGUUGGUACCACGUGCAUGUCAAGUCGAGGUAAGGUUCUGCGCGUUGCAUCGAAUUAAACCACACGCUCCGCUGCUUGUGCGGGCCCCCGUCAAUUCCUUUGAGUUUUAGCCUUGCGGCCGUACUCCCCAGGCGGGACACUUAAUGCGUUAGCUUCGGCACGGAAGGAGUCGACACCUCCCACACCUAGUGUCCAUCGUUUACGGCGUGGACUAC
rnacentral:misc_RNA from 1 species